CGCGUAGGUGGUUCGAUGAGUCGGAGGUGAAAUCCCUCGGCUCAACCGAGGACCCGCGUCCGAUACUGUCGAACUUGAGUGCAGGAGAGGAGAGCGGAAUUCCCAGUGUAGCGGUGAAAUGCGUAGAUAUUGGGAGGAACACCGGUGGCGAAGGCGGCUCUCUGGACUGUUACUGACACUGAGGCGCGAAAGCUAGGGGAGCAAACGGGAUUAGAUACCCCGGUAGUCCUAGCCGUAAACGAUGGGCACUAGGUGUGGGAGGUAUCGACCCCUUCCGUGCCGCAGCUAACGCAUUAAGUGCCCCGCCUGGGGAGUACGGCCGCAAGGUUGAA
rnacentral:rRNA from 1 species